rnacentral:rRNA from 1 species
AUGGAGGGCGUGAUCUUCCAGGAUGGGCAUGGCCGUGCCUACGACCCCGAUGAGACCCAAAGUCAGGAUGGCCGCGCCCAGUACGUGCCCGAUGAAGAGGCCGACAACCGUGCUGACUACGACCAUGGUGAUUCGUGGCAUGAAGACGAUGACAUCUAUGUCGAAGGUGAAGAUGAAGAUGAAGCCAAUGAUGUUGAUAUUAGUGGCGCUCCAUUGUUCAUAGACGAGCUCACCCAAAAAGCGGAAGCACAAAAGAAGCGGAAGAGCAUUCGCACCGGUUCAUAUACACAAAAUGAGGACAAAUUGAUUUGCCAAUGUUGGAUGGAGAUUAGCCAAGAUCCAAGGACCGACGCGCAACAAAAGGGCAUUGUUUUUUGGACGAGAGUCCACAAAACAUUCCAUGAAAGGAAGAUGUUUGAGCCCUACCAAAUUACAAGCAACCGUGGCAUCGGUUCGAUUCAAAAAAGAUGGUUGUUCAUCCAACAAGAGUGCAACAAGUAUUGUGCCGCACUUGAGAGCGUUGAAGCACGACCCGUGAGUGGUCUCGGCGUUAGAGACAUGGCAUGCUCUUCUCUUUCUAGCCCUUGCUACGGCCAUGAGACUUCGGCCGUGUAUAUGUUGCAUGUUCACUUGUUGUUGAUCAUGUGGUGUAGGCAUUUCAAUCUUUGGAGGCAUUCAAGGCCCGACACAAUGACAAGCCAUUCACUCUUUCGCAUUGUUGGACGAUCAUCAACAAUUGCCCUAAGUUCAAGGAUCAAUACCGUGAACUUCAAAGGAAGAGAGGCAAGAAGACGGCCAAGUUCGCCGGAGGUGGGGAUGGCGAGGCGUUGA